rnacentral:rRNA from 1 species
CAGUCGCCACGGUAAUACGUAGGGUGCAAGCGUUAAUCGGAAUUACUGGGCGUAAAGCGUGCGCAGGCGGUUAUAUAAGACAGAUGUGAAAUCCCCGGGCUCAACCUGGGAACUGCAUUUGUGACUGUAUAGCUAGAGUACGGCAGAGGGGGAUGGAAUUCCGCGUGUAGCAGUGAAAUGCGUAGAUAUGCGGAGGAACACCGAUGGCGAAGGCAAUCCCCUGGGCCUGUACUGACGCUCAUGCACGAAAGCGUGGGGAGCAAACAGGAUUAGAUACCCGUGUAGUCCCUGUCUCUUAUAC